UACGUAGGGGGCUAGCGUUAUCCGGAAUUACUGGGCGUAAAGGGUGCGUAGGUGGUUUCUUAAGUCAGAGGUGAAAGGCUACGGCUCAACCGUAGUAAGCCUUUGAAACUGGGAGACUUGAGUGCAGAAGAGGAGAGUGGAACUCCAUGUGUAGCGGUGAAAUGCGUAGAUAUAUGGAAGAACACCAGUGGCGAAAGCGGCUCUCUGGUCUGUAACUGACGCUGAGGUUCGAAAGCGUGGGUAGCAAACAGG
rnacentral:rRNA from 1 species